rnacentral:rRNA from 1 species
UACGAAGGGGGCUAGCGUUGUUCGGAAUUACUGGGCGUAAAGCGCACGUAGGCGGAAUGUUAAGUCAGGGGUGAAAUCCCGGGGCUCAACCCCGGAACUGCCUUUGAUACUGGCAUUCUCGAGUCCGGAAGAGGUGAGUGGAAUUCCGAGUGUAGAGGUGAAAUUCGUAGAUAUUCGGAGGAACACCAGUGGCGAAGGCGGCUCACUGGUCCGGUACUGACGCUGAGGCGCGAAAGCGUGGGGAGCAAACAGG